UAAAAAAUCAAUACGGAGGAAAAGAAACUAACUAGGAUUCCCUUAGUAACGGCGAGUGAACCGGGAUGAGCUCAAAUUUAAAAUCUGGCGUCUUUCAGGCGUCCGAGUUGUAAUCUAUAGAGGCGUUUUCCGCGCCGGACCGCGUCCAAGUCUCUUGGAAUAGAGUAUCAAAGAGGGUGACAAUCCCGUACUUGACGCGACAACCGGUGCUCUGUGAUACGUUCUCAAUGAGUCGAGUUGUUUGGGAAUGCAGCUCUAAAUGGGUGGUAAAUUCCAUCUAAGGCUAAAUAUUGGCGAGAGACCGAUAGCGAACAAGUACCGUGAGGGAAAGAUGAAAAGCACUUUGGAAAGAGAGUUAAACAGCACGUGAAAUUGUUAAAAGGGAAACGAUUGAAGUCAGUCGUGUGAAAGGUAUUCAGCCGUCUCUGGCGGUGUAUUUGCCUUUCACGGGUCAACAUCAGUUUGAUCCGGUAGAAAAAGGCGGGAGGAAGGUGGCACCCUCGGGUGUGUUAUAGCCUCCUGUCAUAUGUGCCGGACCAGACUGAGGAACGCAGCUUGCCGCAAGGCCGGGGUUCGCCCACGUACAAGCUAGGAGUGAUCUA
rnacentral:rRNA from 1 species